AGAAGCGCAAAAGCAGUCGUCUGCCCUGAGGGAGCGAGAGAUGGUCACAUGGGUGCAGCCGCUUUUCCCAGGGUCUGGUCCCUGAGGGCAGAUCUCCCAGCAAGCCCCAAGUUCCCCCUUUGCUUUUCCUGCCUCCUGGUGGCUCUGAAUCCUCUGUCCUCACUGCAGCUGGGUCCCUCGUCUGUGCCAGCAGCAUUCUCCGCUAAGAACCGUUAUGCAAAUGUUUAUGGAGUGUUUGUAAAGGUUAGGUCCUCCGCUAAACAUCUUAGGUGAAUUGAUUCACUCAGUUCCCACAUAACAGAAGGCAUAAUUCCUAUGAGGAUCUUUAAACCUCCAGGAAACAGGGAUAAGGAGCCUUCCUGAGGCCACUCCAUCUGCAAGUGACGGAGCCUGGAUCUGAACCAGAGUCAGUGUGUGGAGAGCCAGUCUUUGGAUCUAUGGUGCCACCCGUCUCCCGGGCACAGCAUCUACUGUUUGCUUGUUCACUUUUCGGACCCCUCACACCAUGCUGUGGACUUCUGAGCAGGCAUUUGUCUGUGUCCAUUCCAGUGACUGACGGCAUUAAGAAGUGAGAGUUGAAUGGAACACAGGACGGAGUCCCUACGUUCGAAAUAGAACAAGCCAGAGCACUUGUCAGACGGAAUGAGAGAUGGCAAGGUGCUUCAGCAAGCGAGUUCAGGGAGAAAGCUCAGGGAGGCGACACUGUCAGUGGUAGAGGUGAGAUUUUAAUCCAGGCAGGCUGGAGUUGGGCCCUGAUUGCUACCUGACUCUACCAUCUCUCCAGGCCAUCAAAUGCCUCCCAUGUUUCCUCAGACUCUUCAAAUGCUGGAUACUGGGGCACACACAACAUAGAUGAAUACAGCGAUGACCCACCUGCUCAUCAUCUAACCAAAAAGAAGAAGCAAUGCAUGUCAGGACAAGCAAAGGUCCUGGGAACAACUUGGAUCCCGUCAUCAUCUCUGGCUUGCUGAGAAGACUCCCAGAUCUCACUUCUGUCUGGGAUUUAUACUUUGUCCUGUUCUUAGGAAUUCUUAACACUAUAUAAGCUCUUUUACAUAAACGUUAGCAUCCUGCACAAAUCCUUCUGAACUUGCUUUUGUCAUUGUUGUUUUUCACAAUAUUCAUUAAUUAAGCCAUGCGAUAAC